rnacentral:rRNA from 1 species
UUAACCGUAUAGGGGAGCCGAAGGGAAACCGAGUCUUAACUGGGCGUUAAGUUGCAGGGUAUAGACCCGAAACCCGGUGAUCUAGCCAUGGGCAGGUUGAAGGUUGGGUAACACUAACUGGAGGACCGAACCGACUAAUGUUGAAAAAUUAGCGGAUGACCUGUGGCUGGGGGUGAAAGGCCAAUCAAACCGGGAGAUAGCUGGUUCUCCCCGAAAGCUAUUUAGGUAGCGCCUCGUGAAUUCAUCUCCGGGGGUAGAGCACUGUUUCGGCUAGGGGGCCAUCCCGGCUUACCAACCCGAUGCAAACUGCGAAUACCGGAGAAUGUUAUCACGGGAGACACACGGCGGGUGCUAACGUCCGUCGUGAAGAGGGAAACAACCCAGACCGCCAGCUAAGGUCCCAAAGUCAUGGUUAAGUGGGAAACGAUGUGGGAAGGCCCAGACAGCCAGGAUGUUGGCUUAGAAGCAGCCAUCAUUUAAAGAAAGCGUAAUAGCUCACUGGUCGAGUCGGCCUGCGCGGAAGAUGUAACGGGGCUAAACCAUGCACCGAAGCUGCGGCAGCGACGCUGAUGCGUUGUUGGGUAGGGGAGCGUUCUGUAAGCCUGUGAAGGUGGCCUGUGAGGGUUGCUGGAGGUAUCAGAAGUGCGAAUGCUGACAUAAGUAACGAUAAAGCGGGUGAAAAGCCCGCUCGCCGGAAGACCAAGGGUUCCUGUCCAACGUUAAUCGGGGCAGGGUGAGUCGACCCCUAAGGCGAGGCCGAAAGGCGUAGUCGAUGGGAAACGGGUUAAUAUUCCCGUACUUGGUGUUACUGCGAAGGGGGGACGGAGAAGGCUAUGUUGGCCGGGCGACGGUUGUCCCGGUUUAAGCGUGUAGGCUGGUUUUCCAGGCAAAUCCGGAAAAUCAAGGCUGAGGCGUGAUGACGAGGCACUACGGUGCUGAAGCAACAAAUGCCCUGCUUCCAGGAAAAGCCUCUAAGCAUCAGGUAACAUCAAAUCGUACCCCAAACCGACACAGGUGGUCAGGUAGAGAAUACCAAGGCGCUUGAGAGAACUCGGGUGAAGGAACUAGGCAAAAUGGUGCCGUAACUUCGGGAGAAGGCACGCUGACACGUAGGUGAAGUGAUUUACUCA